rnacentral:rRNA from 1 species
UACGAAGGGGGCUAGCGUUGCUCGGAAUCACUGGGCGUAAAGCGCACGUAGGCGGACUCUUAAGUCGGUGGUGAAAUCCUGGAGCUCAACUCCAGAACUGCCUUCGAUACUGAGAGUCUUGAGUCCGGGGAGAGGUGAGUGGAACUGCGAGUGUAGAGGUGAAAUUCGUAGAUAUUCGCAAGAACACCAGUGGCGAAGGCGGCUCACUGGCCCGGUACUGACGCUGAGGUGCGAAAGCGUGGGGAACAAACAGG